AUGAUCAUUGUUGAACCUGUAAUAUGGGAUAAGCUUAUUAAGGACCAUCCGAGGGUAAAGAAGUUCCGUUCGAAGCCAUUCAUGCUCUUCAAGGCAUUGGCUUCCCUGCAUGAAGGAAGUGUUGCUUCAGGCGAUCUCAACUUUAUAUCAAUUCCGCAAGUGGAUCUAACAAGUGAUGCAAUUUCUCCUAUGGAUUCCUCUACGAAUGAUGUAAACCCUUUCUCCUCUACCAAUCUUGAAGAUGGUAUGUGA
rnacentral:rRNA from 1 species